UUAAAUCAUAGGUAGUUACUUUAUAAUCUCAUUACAAGAAUUUUUGGAUCUUCCGAUACCGUUUUACAUCCUCGGAAGAUAUGAUGUUUAGAGUUAGGACCUCUCUUGAUGCAUAAAUUGAGGUGUCGGGAGAGACAAGAAUUUCCGACGCUUUACUUAAAGUGUCGGGAUAUAUCCAAGAACUCUCGAUGCAAUGCUUUGUGCAUUGGGAGUUCUAGGAUAUAUCUCAACGCUUUAAGUAAAGCGUUGGGAAUUCUUGGAUAUAUCCUGACGCUUUAAGUAAAGAGCCGGGAAUUCUUGGAUAUAUCCCGUCACUUUUAAGUAAAGCGUCGAGAGUUAGUCUUUAAAAAACUCUCCCCUUCAUAGAUAUGUGAAGAAGGGGAAAAGGAUGGGUAGAAAUGGAGUGCAUUAGGGUUGCUCCUCCAACGUCAGGGUUGUUUCUCCAACAUUAGGGUCGGCACCGUUGUCGCUGUUAGUGUGCAUCAUCGCCGUCGUCAGUGGUCGCUCUGUCCGCUGUCGCCAAUCCCUCCCUCCGCUGUCGCUCUGUCAUGACCUCUUAGUUGGAGUUUGGAAUGGGGUUGUAAUCGCUCUUCAUGUUUUUGGCAACAAUGGUGAGUUUAGAAGGUAAAGUAUGAUUUUAUUUAUUUAUUUAUUUUGUUGUUUACUUACUGCUAGUGUGUCUGCAUGGUUUGAUUUUUGCCUGAAUCCUCGUAUGUUCAUGCUCAUUUGCACACGAAAGCUACAAAAGAGGAGAAAGUUGAAGAAGAUGAUGACAAUGGAGAUGGUUCGGAUAAGAAAAUGGAUGGUUACCCAAUCUGUACUACCUUCCAUUUAAAUAAUGGAAGAUAUUUUUUUUUAAAAAUAGAGGGUUUUCCACAAAACGAAGCGUCGAAAGAUCCUAGACAUAUUUCAACGUUGUAUACAACGUCGAGAUAUGUCUAGAAAUCUCCCGAUGCACCCCGACGCUUCGUUUUGUGCAUCGAGAGAUCCUUUUCUGACUCAUUUCGCCCGACUUUUGUCCCGACACGCGUUUAUGUAUCGAGAGAUCCUUUCUCGACAAUUUUGUGUAUAUCUCCCGAUGCUUUUGCGCGUUGGGAGAUCUCCCUUUUCUUGUAGUGUCUAUUUGGUCUCUAAACUUUAAGUAUUGAAUAGAUUUAUGAACUCUACAAUUUGCGUCAAAUAGGUGUACAUUAUUGGAUUUUAAUUUAUGCCAUUGGUCUGAAAGUAAAUAAACAAUUCAUUCAUCAUGAUUAAUAAAAUAAUAUGCUAUCUCGUAUUAUUUUUUCAAUUUGCAUAA